rnacentral:rRNA from 1 species
GGGUGGCGAGUGGCGGACGGGUGAGGAAUACAUCGGAAUCUACUCUUUCGUGGGGGAUAACGUAGGGAAACUUACGCUAAUACCGCAUACGACCUACGGGUGAAAGCGGAGGACCUUCGGGCUUCGCGCGAUUGAAUGAGCCGAUGUCGGAUUAGCUAGUUGGCGGGGUAAAGGCCCACCAAGGCGACGAUCCGUAGCUGGUCUGAGAGGAUGAUCAGCCACACUGGAACUGAGACACGGUCCAGACUCC